GGAAGACAAAUACAAAAUUGCCCUUAAUUUUAACCUGGUUCAGUAUUUCCACUCCCACCUGUGCACACAAACCUGUCAUCAGGCAGAAUCCCAAGCUAGGGAAUGGACCCUGGGGCUUAAUUGCCAUUGUGAUUGUUUAUAUUGAUCAGUACUGAGAUGAAGAUAUGACAGAUCAAAAUAAACAGUUUUAUAGCUGUGAAGUCUUAAAAUCUGACUUGGAGCUAGGAGACAGUCGAGACAGAACACUGUGGCUGUUGUUUAUUUGCCUUGGAAAGGUUGAACUCUCGCCGUAUCACUAAUUCCGUCUCUCCAGCCACCGAGAGGAAAGAAGCACUGUGUGUGAACAGAAAAAGCUUGUGUGCGUGCGGACACACACACUCACACACACGCAAAGGGUCAUGGGGAGCCUCGAGCCUUUCCCAGGGAACUCGGAACACAAGGCGGGGGACACUCUGGAUGAGGUGAUGAGCAUGUAAAUCCAAGUCAACAAAGGAAGGACUUCAAAAAAGAAGAUCAAUGCUUUGGAACGGCUUAAUCAGAGCCAAGAUCUAAAUCCUAUCGAAAACCUGUGGAAUAACUUGAAGAGGGCUGUGCACAGGAGCUACUCUCAUAAUUUGAUAGAUCCACUCAAAGAAGAUUGGAAUAAAAUCGCCAAAUCAAGAUGUGUCAAAUUGGUAACUGUUUCUUCUGUUUCCAUAAAACAUUUCUUUUUGUUUUUAAUUUGAAUUUUGUUUUAUAUCUACUGUAUAGUUGCAGAAUAAGUGCACAAAACACUAGUUAUGGAUUACAAUGUUAUCCUCAUCUACACAAGUCUAGACUGGCCAUCACUUUUAGUAUUAUUAGUUUUUCAGAAUAUUGAGAAUAUUAGUGAAGCUCAUGAAAUGAUAUGGCUGUUAGAUGCAAAAGAGUAUGCUUAAAAAAGUGUCUACCUUUAAAGAUUCAGCCAAUAAUUUGAAACAGCGAAAUAGACGGUUGUUUAAAAAAAAAUCUAGUUCCACUGAUUUAGCCUGGUAGUGGAAUAAACCAUCCGGAGAUUUGAGUUGAGUCCUUUAAAUGAAAGCAGACGAAUAACUUGUCUAAUUUAAAUUUUAAGCUCUAGUUUUGUUACUUUCACCCCCUAAAGCUUCAAAAACAUAAAUCUGAUUAAACAAACUGAUGUAAAUCAGUAAUGAAGGGAUAGAGGGGAAAAAACUGUCUCUAAUUGUAAACAUAAAACCUGGACUACCAAUUAUAUGUAAGAUGUAUUUGGCUAAACAGGAGUCUGUAGAGGAAACACUGAGGUAACAUCAUCACUAUAAUGGUCAUGAUUGGGGAAAAUGUUCACACUGACUUCUGAGUUGUAAUUUUGGGAGUAUGGCGAGUGCACUCAUUUCUCCCUACAAAAAGUGCAGCAACUGGUACUGCUUUCAACAUGGUAAAAAAACAAAAAAACAAAAAAAACCCAAGAAGACAAACAAUAUGGACAUUGUAAAAUACACAUUUUAGUUAUCAUUUUAGUUUAAUAAAUUGUAUCACUCGGGGGGGCUCACAGUGGCUUAGUGGUUAGCAUGUUUGCCUCGCUCCUCCUGGUUGAUUCCAGCCUCCGCUCUGUGUGCGCUCAGCUUGUAUGUACUGUACUUCCCAGUUUCCCAGUUUCCUCUGGGUACUCUAGUUUCCUCUUCCAGUUCAAACACAUGUGUUGUAGGCUGAUUGGGCUGACAUCUAAAUUGUCCGUAUGUGUGUGUGUGUGUGUGCAAUUGUGCCCUGCAAUGGUCCAGUUUGUACCCCGAG